rnacentral:rRNA from 1 species
UACGGAGGGUGCAAGCGUUAUCCGGAUUCACUGGGUUUAAAGGGUGCGUAGGUGGGCAGGUAAGUCAGUGGUGAAAUCUCCGAGCUUAACUCGGAAACUGCCAUUGAUACUAUCUGUCUUGAAUUAUCUGGAGGUGAGCGGAAUAUGUCAUGUAGCGGUGAAAUGCUUAGAUAUGACAUAGAACACCAAUUGCGAAGGCAGCUCACUGGGACGUUACUGACACUGAGGCGCGAAAGCGUGGGGAGCGAACAGG